rnacentral:rRNA from 1 species
UCCAGACUCCUACGGGAGGCAGCAGUGGGGAAUAUUGGGCAAUGGAGGCAACUCUUACCCAGCAAUGCCGCGUGAAUGAAGAAGGUCUUCGGAUUGUAAAGUUCUUUAAUUGGGGACGAAAAAAAUGACGGUACCCAAGGAAUAAGCCCCGGCUAACUACGUGCCAGCAGCCGCGGUAAUACGUAGGGGGCAAGCGUUAUCCGGAUUUACUGGGUGUAAAGGGAGCGUAGACGGCGAUGCAAGUCUGAAGUGAAAGGCGGGGGCCCAACCCCGGGACUGCUCUUGGAACUGCGUGGCUAGAGUGCAGGAGGGGCAGGCGGAAUUCCUGGUGUAGCGGUGAAAUGCGUAGAUAUAAGGAGGAACACCGGCGGCGAAGGCGGCCUGCUGGACCGCGACUGACGUUGAGGCUCGAAAGCGUGGGGAGCGAACAGGAUUAGAUACCCCGGUAAAA